rnacentral:rRNA from 1 species
AACGAACGCUGGCGGCAGGCCUAACACAUGCAAGUCGAGCGCCCCCUUUUAGAGGGCAGAAAUCAGAGAUCGGAAAUCAGAGAUCGGAAUUGAGCGGGGCAGCGAUGCCGGCGCGCGUUCUGAUUUUUGAUAUCUCAUUUCCGAUCUCUGCCUUCUGAUGGGGGAGCGGGCGGACGGGUGAGUAACGCGUGGGAAUUUUCCNCAAGGUACGAACAACUCAGGGAAACUUGGGCUAAUACCGUAUGAUGCAGAGAUGCCAAAGAUUUAUCGCCUUGGGAUAAGCCCGCGUCAGAUUAGGUAGUUGGUGGGUAAUGGCCUACCAAGCCUGCGAUCUGUAGCUGGUCUGAGAGGACGAUCAGCCACACUGGGAC